rnacentral:rRNA from 1 species
GAUGAACGCUGGCGGCGUGCUUAACACAUGCAAGUCGAACGAUGAAGCCCAGCUUGCUGGGUGGAUUAGUGGCGAACGGGUGAGUAACACGUGAGUAACCUGCCCCUAACUCUGGGAUAAGCCUGGGAAACUGGGUCUAAUACCGGAUAGGAGCGUCCACCGCAUGGUGGGUGUUGGAAAGAUUUAUCGGUUUUGGAUGGACUCGCGGCCUAUCAGCUUGUUGGUGAGGUAAUGGCUCACCAAGGCGACGACGGGUAGCCGGCCUGAGAGGGUGACCGGCCACACUGGGACUGAGACACGGCCCAGACUCCUACGGGAGGCAGCAGUGGGGAAUAUUGCACAAUGGGCGCAAGCCUGAUGCAGCGACGCCGCGUGAGGGAUGACGGCCUUCGGGUUGUAAACCUCUUUCAGUAGGGAAGAAGCGAAAGUGACGGUACCUGCAGAAGAAGCACCGGCUAACUACGUG